GAUGAACGCUGGCGGCGUGCCUAAUACAUGCAAGUCGAGCGAACAGACGAGGAGCUUGCUUCUCUGACGUUAGCGGCGGACGGGUGAGUAACACGUGGAUAACCUACCUAUAAGACUGGGAUAACUUCGGGAAACCGGAGCUAAUACCGGAUAAUAUAUUGAACCGCAUGGUUCAAUAGUGAAAGACGGUUUUGCUGUCACUUAUAGAUGGAUCCGCGCUGCAUUAGCUAGUUGGUAAGGUAACGGCUUACCAAGGCAACGAUGCAUAGCCGACCUGAGAGGGUGAUCGGCCACACUGGAACUGAGACACGGUCCAGACUCCUACGGGAGGCAGCAGUAGGGAAUCUUCCGCAAAGGGCGAAAGCCUGACGGAGCAACGCCGCGUGAGUGAUGAAGGUCUUCGGAUCGUAAAACUCUGUUAUUAGGGAAGAACAUAUGUGUAAGUAACUGUGCACGUCUUGACGGUACCUAAUCAGAAAGCCACGGCUAACUACGUG
rnacentral:rRNA from 1 species